rnacentral:rRNA from 1 species
AUUGAACGCUGGCGGCAGGCCUAACACAUGCAAGUCGAACGAGUGGCGGACGGGUGAGUAAUGUCUGGGAAACUGCCUGCUGGAGGGGGAUAACUACUGGAAACGGUAGCUAAUACCGCAUACCAUCGGAUGUGCCCAGAUGGGAUUAGCUAGUAGGUGGGGUAAAGGCUCACCUAGGCGACGAUCCCUAGCUGGUCUGAGAGGAUGACGAGCCACACUGGAACGGAGACACGGUCCAGACUCCUACGGGAGGAGGCGGAGGGGAAUAUGGCACAAGGGGCGCAAGCCUGAUGCAGCCAGGCGGCGUGUAUGAAGAAGGCCUUCGGGUUGUAAAGUACUGUCAGCGGGGAGGCGUUACCCGCAGAAGAAGCACCGGCUAACUCCGUGCCAGCAGCCGCGGUAAUAC